rnacentral:rRNA from 1 species
UACGUAGGGUGCGAGCGUUGUCCGGAAUUACUGGGCGUAAAGAGCUCGUAGGUGGUUUGUCGCGUUGUUCGUGAAAACUCACAACUCAAUUGUGGGCGUGCGGGCGAUACGGGCAGACUGGAGUACUGCAGGGGAGACUGGAAUUCCUGGUGUAGCGGUGGAAUGCGCAGAUAUCAGGAGGAACACCGGUGGCGAAGGCGGGUCUCUGGGCAUUACCUGACGCUGAGGAGCGAAAGUGUGGGGAGCGAACAGG